AACGAACGCUGGCGGCGUGCCUAACACAUGCAAGUCGAGCGCGAAAAGGGCAACCUGAGUAGAGCGGCGCACGGGUGCGUAACACGUGGGUAAUCUGCCUUAGAGUCGAGGAUAACCUUCCGAAAGGUUGGCUAAUACUCGGUGAGCUUACGGUGUCUUCGGACGCUGUGGGAAAAGUAGGCCUCUGUUUACAAGCUUACGCUCUGAGAUGAGCCCGCGGCCCAUCAGCUAGUUGGCGGUGUAACGGACCACCAAGGCAACGACGGGUAGCUGGUCUGAGAGGACGAUCAGCCACACUGGAACUGAGACACGGUCCAGACUCCUACGGGAGGCAGCAGUGGGGAAUUUUCCACAAUGGGCGAAAGCCUGAUGGAGCAACGCAGCGUGUGUGAUGAAGGUUUUCGGAUCGUAAAGCACUUUCGACCGGGACGAAAAACCUCUGGCUAACAUCCAGGGGCCUGACGGUACCGGGAGAAGAAGCACCGGCUAACUCUGUGCCAGCCGCCGCCGUAA
rnacentral:rRNA from 1 species